AACGAACGCUGGCGGCAUGCCUAACACAUGCAAGUCGAACGAGACCUUCGGGUCUAGUGGCGCACGGGUGCGUAACGCGUGGGAACCUGCCCUUAGGUUCGGAAUAACUCCCCGAAAGGUGUGCUAAUACCGGAUAAUGUCUUCGGACCAAAGAUUUAUCGCCUUUGGAUGGGCCCGCGUUGGAUUAGCUAGUUGGUAGGGUAAAAGCCUACCAAGGCGACGAUCCAUAGCUGGUCUGAGAGGAUGAUCAGCCACACUGGGACUGAGACACGGCCCAGACUCCUACGGGAGGCAGCAGUGGGGAAUAUUGGACAAUGGGCGAAAGCCUGAUCCAGCCAUGCCGCGUGAGUGAUGAAGGCCUUAGGGUUGUAAAGCUCUUUUACCCGGGAUGAUAAUGACAGUACCGGGAGAAUAAGCCCCGGCUAACUCCGUG
rnacentral:rRNA from 1 species